rnacentral:rRNA from 1 species
UAAGGAAUAUUGGUCAAUGGACGCAAGUCUGAACCAGCCAUGCCGCGUGGAGGAUGAAGGUCCUCUGGAUUGUAAACUUCUUUUAUCUGGGACGAAACACUUCUUUUCUAAGAGGCCUGACGGUACCAGAUGAAUAAGCACCGGCUAACUCCGUGCCAGCAGCCGCGGUAAUACGUAGGGUGCGAGCGUUAAUCGGAAUUACUGGGCGUAAAGCGUGCGCAGGCGGUCUUGCAGGACAGUGGUGAAAUCCCCGGGCUCAACCUGGGAACUGCCAUUGUGACUGCAAGGCUGGAGUACGGCAGAGGGAGAUGGAAUUCCGCGUGUAGCAGUGAAAUGCGUAGAUAUGCGGAGGAACACCGAUGGCGAAGGCAGUCCCCUGGGCCUGUACUGACGCUCAUGCACGAAAGCGUGGGGAGCAAUCA